CGCGUGGAUAACCUGCCUCACACAGGGGGAUAACAGUUGGAAACGACUGCUAAUACCGCAUAAGCGCACAGCACCGCAUGGUGCAGUGUGAAAAACUCCGGUGGUGUGAGAUGGAUCCGCGUCUGAUUAGCUUGUUGGCGGGGUAACGGCCCACCAAGGCGACGAUCAGUAGCCGGCCUGAGAGGGCGACCGGCCACAUUGGGACUGAGACACGGCCCAG
rnacentral:rRNA from 1 species